rnacentral:rRNA from 1 species
UACAGAGGGUGCAAGCGUUAAUCGGAAUUACUGGGCGUAAAGCGUGCGUAGACGGUAGCGUAAGUCGGGUGUGAAAGCCCCGGGCUCAACCUGGGAAUUGCAUUCGAGACUGCUCUGCUAGGGUGCGGAAGAGGGGAGCGGAAUUUCCGGUGUAGCGGUGAAACGCGUAGAUAUCGGAAGGAGCACCAGUGGCGAAAGCGGCUCCCUGGUCCAGCACCGACGUUCAGGCACGAAAGCGUGGGGAGCAAACAGG